rnacentral:rRNA from 1 species
UACGUGGGGGGCAAGCGUUGUUCGGAAUUAUUGGGCGUAAAGCGCGCGUAGGCGGCUUUUCAAGUCGUUUGUGAAAUCCCCGGGCUUAACCUGGGAACUGCAGUCGAGACUGUCUAGCUAGAGUAUGGGAGAGGGAAGUGGAAUUUCAGGUGUAGCGGUGAAAUGCGUAGAUAUCUGAAGGAACAUCAGUGGCGAAAGCGACUGCCUGGACCAAUACUGACGCUCAUGUGCGAAAGCGUGGGGAGCAAACAGG